rnacentral:rRNA from 1 species
GGGACCUUCGGGCCUCAUGCCAUCAGAUGUGCCCAGAUGGGAUUAGCUAGUAGGUGGGGUAACGGCUCACCUAGGCGACGAUCCCUAGCUGGUCUGAGAGGAUGACCAGCCACACUGGAACUGAGACACGGUCCAGACUCCUACGGGAGGCAGCAGUGGGGAAUAUUGCACAAUGGGCGCAAGCCUGAUGCAGCCAUGCCGCGUGUGUGAAGAAGGCCUUCGGGUUGUAAAGCACUUUCAGCGGGGAGGAAGGCGUUAAGGUUAAUAACCUUGGCGAUUGACGUUACCCGCAGAAGAAGCACCGGCUAACUCCGUGCCAGCAGCCGCGGUAAUACGGAGGGUGCAAGCGUUAAUCGGAAUUACUGGGCGUAAAGCGCACGCAGGCGGUCUGUCAAGUCGGAUGUGAAAUCCCCGGGCUCAACCUGGGAACUGCAUUCGAAACUGGCAGGCUAGAGUCUUGUAGAGGGGGGUAGAAUUCCAGGUGUAGCGGUGAAAUGCGUAGAGAUCUGGAGGAAUACCGGUGGCGAAGGCGGCCCCCUGGACAAAGACUGACGCUCAGGUGCGAAAGCGUGGGGAGCAAACAGGAUUAGAUACCCUGGUAGUCCACGCCGUAAACGAUGUCGAUUUGGAGGUUGUGCCCUUGAGGCGUGGCUUCCGGAGCUAACGCGUUAAAUCGACCGCCUGGGGAGUACGGCCGCAAGGUUAAAACUCAAAUGAAUUGACGGGGGCCCGCACAAGCGGUGGAGCAUGUGGUUUAAUUCGAUGCAACGCGAAGAACCUUACCUGGUCUUGACAUCCACAGAACUUUCCAGAGAUGGAUUGGUGCCUUCGGGAACUGUGAGACAGGUGCUGCAUGGCUGUCGUCAGCUCGUGUUGUGAAAUGUUGGGUUAAGUCCCGCAACGAGCGCAACCCUUAUCCUUUGUUGCCAGCGGUCCGGCCGGGAACUCAAAGGAGACUGCCAGUGAUAAACUGGAGGAAGGUGGGGAUGACGUCAAGUCAUCAUGGCCCUUACGACCAGGGCUACACACGUGCUACAAUGGCAUAUACAAAGAGAAGCGACCUCGCGAGAGCAAGCGGACCUCAUAAAGUAUGUCGUAGUCCGGAUUGGAGUCUGCAACUCGACUCCAUGAAGUCGGAAUCGCUAGUAAUCGUAGAUCAGAAUGCUACGGUGAAUACGUUCCCGGGCCUUGUACACACCGCCCGUCACACCAUGGGAGUGGGUUGCAAAAGAAGUAGGUAGCUUAACCUUCGGGAGGGCGCUUACCACUUUGUGAUUCAUGACUGGGGUGAAGUCGUAACAAGGUAACCGUAGGGGAACCUGCGGUUGGAUCACCUCCUUACCUUAAAGAA